GUUGGGAAUCUUGCACAAUGGGGGAAACCCUGAUGCAGCGACGCCGCGUGGAGGAUGACGGAUCUAGGUCUGUAAACUCCUUUUUCAUGGAAAGACUUAGGACGGUACCAUGAGAAUAAGGACCGGCUAACUACGUGCCAGCAGCCGCGGUAAGACGUAGGGUCCAAGCGUUGUCCGGAUUUACUGGGCGUAAAGAGCGCGUAGGCGGCUCGUUAAGUGUGAAGUGAAAUCUCCAGGGCUCAACCCGGAAACUGCUUCGCAUACUGGCGAGCUUGAGGAAUGCAGAGGUUUGUGGAAUUCCUGGUGUAGCGGUGAAAUGCGUUGAUAUCAGGAGGAACACCCAUGGCGAAGGCAGCAAACUGGGCAUUAUCUGACGCUGAGGCGCGAAAGCGUGGGUAGCAAACAGGAUUAGAAACCCGGGUAGUCC
rnacentral:rRNA from 1 species